AAUAAUUCAAGAAUUUCGGAAUUUAGCCACAGUUCACGCUCCCCCGCGCUUCGUUGCUUCCGCAGAUUCCCACAAUUUUUGUAUGAAUUUUACGAAUUUGUGCAGCGCCCCACACCCCCUCUGCCGGCGAGCGCAUAGCUUGUUUCUUUGACUGCAAUCAAUCACGACGACAAAAACACUGGAAUAACCAGCAAAUAAAUAUAGAGGAGAAUAAAUACGCAGUUGAAUGUGACUGUGUAUGUGUGUGUGAGUUUAGUUCCACAUGAAAAACUGCAAACUAAAAUAACAGCGAAAUGCAAGCGAAAAAAGAGGAAGAAACAAACGAAAAACUGAAGAAAUUAUUUGUGAUAACCGAGUGUGAGCGGAGGAGACGGGGCGGAUGUGCAAGGGAGGUGGGGAAUCAAAGUCGAGCUGGUAAAAAAUUUAAACAAAAUUCAAGAAUGAUUUUUGGUGGAUGUCUACUAAGUAGAUAUGUAUGGUUGGGUAAAUGUAUAUGUGUAUGUGUGAGUAAUUGUGUGUUAUUUCUAAAUACAGCAGCAGAGCAGAGAGUCUGCGCGACGACGUUGCACAAAAACGAAGUUCGCUUGCAGACGCGCAUUUAUUUAAAAUGUACA